rnacentral:rRNA from 1 species
GAUGAACGCUGGCGGCGUGCCUAAUACAUGCAAGUCGAGCGAACAGACGAGGAGCUUGCUCCUCUGGCGUUAGCGGCGGACGGGUGAGUAACACGUGGAUAACCUACCUAUAAGGCUGGGAUAACUUCGGGAAACCGGAGCUAAUACCGGAUAAUAUAUUGAACCGCAUGGUUCAAUAGUGUAAGACGUGUUUGCUGUCACUUAUAGCUGGAUUCGUGCCGCAUUAGCUAGUUGGUAAGGUAACGGCUUACCAUAGCGAGGAUGCGCAGCCGACCUGAGAGGGUGAUGGGCCACACUGGAACUGAGACACGGUCCUGACUCCGACGGGAGGCAGCAGCAGGGAAUCGUCCGCGAUGGGCGAAAGCCUGACGGAGCAACGCCGCGUGAGUGAUGAAGGUCUUCGGAUCGUAAAACUCUGUUAUUAGUGAAGACCAAAUGUGUAAGUAACUAUGCACGUCUUGACGGUACCUAAUCAGAAAGCCACGGCUAACUACGUG